rnacentral:misc_RNA from 1 species
CGUUUUGUUUGUCUCGUCACGUCAUGAAUAGAAACAAUUUUUCAAUAAGCGAGUGAUAAAAAAUCUAUUAUAGAAAUUUCACGGACUUUGUGAUAUAUAUAUAAUUACCGAAGAUAUGUUCAGUAAGCGAAAAUGAGUUCCUUCGCUAAUACCAAGUGAAAGUGGUGCUGAAUUAUCUUUAAAUAUGGAACUGUCCGGUUCGGGGAAAUCCCCAAACUCCUCGUUAUCUUUUAGAUACAACGCUAACAAUGAGGAACUGGAAGAGUUGUACCACAUGUGUGAUGAUGAUCCUCCUACACCCCAAAAUGACCCUCCCGUUAGUCAGAACGAGACAGCGAGUCCGAAAAAAGCGGAUAAAAGCUCGUCUAUAUUAGAUAAAUAUUUUAAAUCAAUGAGACCAGAAAAACCGUCAGAAAAAGAAAAUGAGGAUCCAAAAUCUGAUCCCAAACCUGCAGAGGAAACUAAACCGGCAGCUCCUCCCAAAGAAGUUACAUCUUCUCCUAUGAAAGAGUAUUUAAACCGUUUAGGGAAGAGGGCUACUACUUCUGAGGGGUCUAUUGAUGCUAAGGAAAGCUCUAAUGAAACUUGGAAGAUCUUCCAUGACUUUAAGUUCAAGAUAGCACAAGCUGUUGAGGACAUCAAAACUCGUUCGGUGGAAGAAACAAAGGAAAAAUCAGUGCCAAGAGAGAACUCAACAUCAGAUUCAGAAGAAAGCUCUGCCAUCAAAGACUCUGAUCAACAAAGUGUUGGAGAUACUGACAAUCAGGUAUCAUCUCUUCACAGUAGUAUUCAGAAUCUGUCUGAAAUCACGCAACCGGUCACGGCCAAGCCUACCGACCGUGAGUCUAGUCUUCCUUUAGAAAAGAAUAAUUCCGAAUCCAGUGAUGAUACACAUAAGAAUUUAGCCAGUGAAUCAGAAAACGGGACAGGAGAUUUGCUAGACGACAGCAGUAUGUUAGAAGUCGAGUCUGGUGUCGAAGCGUUGGAGGACACCAAUAUUGAUGCUCUCGGAGACGCCAACCUGUACAAAGACUCAGGGGACAAACCCCCUCCCGUCCUGAACAUCCUGCCCUGCACCGUGCAGAGGCCACGCACACCCACACACAUAGGAUCCCCACCCAGCAAACCCAAUAUAACAACAGAAACUCCUAGGAACUACUUCUUUAAUUUCACAAUGUACAUCCUCACUUUUUUACUAAUUGUCAACUACUUCCUAUUCCCCAACUCCCACGCGUGGAAUGGAUUCCUACUGGGUGUAUGGAUGUUUACAUUUGCAAGCAACUUGAAGCAAUGGUUUUUAGCCAAUUAUUUUAGUACGGACAAGGAACCUAGAACCAGCUUCUUUCAGUUUAGGCGCCGCAGUGUUGUACCGUACACGUACAAUAUUCCUAAUGUUAAGGAGCAUAGGCCAAUUAAGAAACAUGAGGGGUGGAUAAACCAUUAUAGGUUUCACGAAUAUGAUGCUUACACGUAUCACAUCAACAAAACAACAACCGCAUUUAUUAAAUUAGAAGGUUGCAAUUUAAGGAUAUCGUACACUAAAACAAAAAUAGCUAAAAGAGCGCUAUGGGACGAGAAAAUAGACAAAGUUGUUUUCUACCAGCAUAGAUUGUAUAAUUUAACCGGCGCCAAAGUAUUCCUGCUGCCGAAUGGACUUGUCAGUAAAAGACAAUGGAGCAAAAAGUACCCUAUAUGUAUCGCACUGAAUGAAAAUGAGACAAUACAAGUACUUGAGAAAGAAAAUUUACCCGAGAAAAAACCUGGCGAUGUGUCAGAGAGUAAAAAGAAAGAACAAGAAUCAGAGACCACCGAAACUACCACUAGCCCGGAAAAGAAAAAGAGAUUUGUAUGGAGAAAGAAAGAAAAAAGCCUUUCACAAGAAGUAGAUACGGCCGGGAGAGAAGGACUGCGUCAUCGGAUCGUCAGAAAGAUGCACAGAGAUAAAAAACCGGAUAGCGUGUCCACUGCCACAGAGCCCGACAGCCAAACAGAGAAGACUUUACAAGAAGAACUGAACGAGGAUGAGGUGACCAGUGCGCCCGCCAACGGCAAGGACGAGGCUCUGGACGAGGACCUUGAUGAUGAGAUUACCAGGCUCAAGGAGUUUCUGGACGAAACUGAGCCGGAGACUGUAGAGGGCGCUGCAGAAGGCGAGUGGAGUUUGCACGUGAAACACUCCAAGGACAAGCACUCACGACUUUUCCUGUUCGCGCGGACGGGCCGGGACAAACUUGAGUGGUUCCGUCGGAUACACCAAGCUAUAUCGGAGGCAACUCCGUCGGUCGAAUCUUCAGUGGCCGAAGACAAGAGUUCGAGCGAUCUCGCGACAGACACCAAGGAAGGCAUCGAGAUGGCCGUCUACAAAGUGUCUGAUAAGGACACUGUCUCCUUCCCGAAGCCCAAUACUAAAGCUAAUCCGGUACCGUUGGAAGGCCUGACAGUCGUCUCGGAUUGGAGCUCGUAUGAGAAAACCUUCUGGCCUUAUCUAAUAAAAAUAAUGCAAACGCACGAAGAAAACAUAAAGCAAACGGUCGACGCGGGAGUCACCUGCGACCUCGAUCCCACGCCGAUAGAGACUAAGGGCAAAGCCAAGAAGAAACGGAAAAACGAUCCUAAAUCAGAUACACCCUCGUGCGACUGCCGGCAGCUCCCCGCCGAAGUGUCGUGGGUGAACACGGUGUUAGCCAGAGUCAUGUAUGACGUCAUGAGAGACCCACACAUCAUGAUGCGCGUGCAGAAUAGGAUACAGAGGAAACUCAACACGCUCAAGUUACCUUCAUUCAUGUCUCCACUAGUGGUGACGGAGCUGUCUCUAGCAGGCGCGUGCCCGCUAGUGGAGCGUGUCGGCGGCGCCACGUGGGACGAGCGCGGCGUGUGGCUCGACGCCGACCUGCGCUACGACGGCGGCGCCGCCAUCACCAUACUCACCAACAUCAACCUCAUGAAGCUCAAGGAGAAGAAUCUAACUUUGGAGGAAAAGUUAUUGCUGACAGAAGAGCACAUAGUGGAGAGCGAUCUCAUGUUUUCGGGAAGCAGCAUGUUUUCCGAAAAGCAGCUACGGAAACGCAAGCCCGCCAUAUUCGACAGCGACGUGGAAGACUCGGCGGAGUCCUCCAGCGAUGACGAGAGCCCGCCCGUGCAGCCUGUGGACAGCAACGAGGCGAUACCAACGCAAGAUAUAGCAUCUGCGGCGGCGCCAGAGAGUGGUUCAUCCAAAAAGAAGUUCCUGAGAAUGGUCGAUAAGAUAUCCACUAAUAAAUACUUCCAGCAGGUAACGGACUUCAAAUACGUGAAGCGAGCAAUGGAGGGUCUCUCCAAUACGGAUAUUAAGUUACAAGUAGAAAUCCAAGGACUAGAGGGACGGUUAGCUUUGAACUUGCCACCGCCGCCUCACGACAGAUUAUGGCUAGGUUUCCGAACGAACCCGCAGCUGAUCCUAAAAGCGCGGCCAGCCGUCGGCGCGCGCACGCUCCGCUUCGCGCACAUCUCCAACUGGAUCGAGCACAAACUCAGUAAAGAGUUCGAGAAGGUUCUAGUACUGCCCAAUAUGGAGGACAUUGCUGUGGAUGUCAUGACCCCCACACCCGUGUUUGCGGAGUCUCUUUAGACGGUGGUACUUGAAAAUCUUUGUCUCAUUAUGUCGACGAAGCCCCGCCGCGCGGGGGUCCUUUCUAUAUGUUGGUCUUCAGGCACCUGUAGCAGUAUAACAAGCCAAUUAAUUUAAUGUAACUACCGCCAAAACACACGGACUUCACAAUUCGGCGGGUUUUGAAACCGGCCGCCAACGCGUAUAAACGUUCCAGUGUUGUGUGUAAUAACUAAUAAAAUAAAAGACAAUGGUUCUCAAUAUGACAAUUCCACCGUGUUUGAGUCGAUAUAAUGUAUAACGUAAUAUUUCUUAGAGGAAAUGGUAGUAGUGCUUAUAAAGCGAAUAUUAUGUGCAAUAUAAAGAACGUUGUAAUCUUCAAUGUGACGGAUUCAUCGUAUUUUUUAGUCAAUAUACUGCUGGCCAACAUGGAUGAUAUGGUAUUUGAUACUCUAGUUAUGAAUCCACAUAAAAUUGGUCUCGUGUAUGACCUGGUGGAUAUACUAGAUAUUACGCGUAAUUGUUGAUGUCCCCGACGAGACGUUUGCAAACGUCAGCCAAUGGCAAAGGACACUGCUAUCAAUAUAGAUGGACAAACGUUGUCGGCAUGAACAUUGAAAACACCGGUUUUUGAGAGUGAGCUCAUCUCACAGAACAAACCUAAGUGUGAAUAAAUAAUGUAAGUAGUUAGACAAAACUCACAAUUAUCUCUUACAAUAACAAUAAGAUGUAUGAUCAUCGGCGACAUUAAGGCACUGGUCCCACCGCGAGCUAGUAAGAUAUGAGCUAUCGGCUAUAAAAACGAAAAAAAGAUAAUCACUCCC